rnacentral:rRNA from 1 species
GUCCACGCCCUAAACGAUGUCUACUAGUUAUUGGGAGAGUAAAAUCUCUUAGUAACGCAGCUAACGCGUGAAGUAGACCGCCUGGGGAGUACGGUCGCAAGAUUAAAACUCAAAGGAAUUGACGGGGGCCCGCACAAGCGGUGGAUUAUGUGGAUUAAUUCGAUGCAACGCGAAAAACCUUACCUGGCCUUGACAUGUACCGAAUUUGGGAGAGAUUCCUUAGUGCUCGAAAGAGAACGGUAACACAGGUGCUGCAUGGCUGUCGU